rnacentral:rRNA from 1 species
ACGGCUCAGUAACACGUGGAUAACCUGCCCUUGGGUCCGGCAUAACCCCGGGAAACUGGGGAUAAUUCCGGAUAACGCACAUAUGCUGGAAUGCUUUAUGCGUAAAAUGGAUUCGUCUGCCCAAGGAUGGGUCUGCGGCCUAUCAGGUAGUAGUGGGUGUAAUGUACCUACUAGCCUACAACGGGUACGGGUUGUGAGAGCAAGAGCCCGGAGAUGGAUUCUGAGACAUGAAUCCAGGCCCUACGGGGCGCAGCAGGCGCGAAAACUUUACAAUGCGGGAAACCGUGAUAAGGGGACACCGAGUGCCAGCAUCAUAUGCUGGCUGUCCAGGUGUGUAAAAUACACCUGUUAGCAAGGGCCGGGCAAGACCGGUGCCAGCCGCCGCGGUAACACCGGCGGCCCGAGUGGUGAUCGUGAUUAUUGGGUCUAAAGGGUCCGUAGCCGGUUUGGUCAGUCCUCCGGGAAAUCUGACGGCUUAACCGUUAGGCUUUCGGGGGAUACUGCCAGGCUUGGAACCGGGAGAGGUAAGAGGUACUACAGGGGUAGGAGUGAAAUCUUGUAAUCCCUGUGGGACCACCUGUGGCGAAGGCGUCUUACCAGAACGGGUUCGACGGUGAGGGACGAAAGCUGGGGGCACGAACCGGAUUAGAUACCCGGGUAGUCCCAGCCGUAAACGAUGCUCGCUAGGUGUCAGGCAUGGCGCGACCGUGUCUGGUGCCGCAGGGAAGCCGUGAAGCGAGCCACCUGGGGAAGUACGGCCGCAAGGCUGAAACUUAAAGGAAUUGGCGGGGGAG